AGGUGUCUCAUCCCAGGGCCCUAUUUAGCUAAAUCUGUCAGCACCGAAGUUGCUGUUUAGUGGAUAAGGUGUGCACUGGAUUUUCUUCUUUUUAUUUAUAAAUUGGCUCCCAGCAGCAGAAUAUUUGACCUUGUCUGGAAAUGCUGCUUUUUUUUUCUCUUCCUCCUUUUGCUGGUGACUGGUUGAACUUCCAGGAUUGGUGCAGAAAAAAAACCAACAUCCCUGGCCAAUAUUACCUAGAAUCACGGAAUGAUCUUCU